rnacentral:rRNA from 1 species
GAUGAACGCUAGCUACAGGCUUAACACAUGCAAGUCGAGGGGCAGCAUGAAAGGAACUUCGGUUCUUUUUGAUGGCGACCGGCGCACGGGUGCGUAACGCGUAUCGAACCUGCCUCAUACUCGGGGAUAGCCUUGCGAAAGUAAGAUUAAUACCCGGCGGUCUCGGAUGGCCGCAUGACUGUCCGAGUGAAGAUUUAUCGGUAUGAGAUGGCGAUGCGUCCCAUUAGCUUGUUGGUGAGGUAACGGCUCACCAAGGCAUCGAUGGAUAGGGGUUCUGAGAGGAAGGUCCCCCACAUUGGAACUGAGACACGGUCCAAACUCCUACGGGAGGCAGCAGUGAGGAAUAUUGGUCAAUGGACGAGAGUCUGAACCAGCCAAGUAGCGUGAAGGAUGACUGCCCUAUGGGUUGUAAACUUCUUUUAUAUGGGAAUAAAGUUUUCCACGUGUGGAAUUUUGUAUGUACCAUAUGAAUAAGGAUCGGCUAACUCCGUGCCAGCAGCCGCGGUAAUACGGAGGAUCCGAGCGUUAUCCGGAUUUAUUGGGUUUAAAGGGAGCGUAGGUGGACAGUUAAGUCAGUUGUGAAAGUUUGCGGCUCAACCGUAAAAUUGCAGUUGAUACUGGCUGUCUUGAGUACAGUAGAGGUGGGCGGAAUUCGUGGUGUAGCGGUGAAAUGCUUAGAUAUCACGAAGAACUCCGAUUGCGAAGGCAGCUCACUGGACUGCAACUGACACUGAUGCUCGAAAGUGUGGGUAUCAAACCAGG